GGUGGAUCAGUGGCGAACGGGUGAGUAACACGUGAGCAACCUGCCCCCUACUUCGGGAUAAGCCUUGGAAACGGGGUCUAAUACCGGAUAUGAACGCUUGCCGCAUGGUGGGUGUUGGAAAGUUUUUCGGUGGGGGAUGGGCUCGCGGCCUAUCAGCUUGUUGGUGGGGUAAUGGCCUACCAAGGCGUCGACGGGUAGCCGGCCUGAGAGGGCGACCGGCCACACUGGGACUGAGACACGGCCCAGACUCCUACGGGAGGCAGCAGUGGGGAAUAUUGCACAAUGGGCGAAAGCCUGAUGCAGCGACGCCACGUGAGGGAUGACGGCCUUCGGGUUGUAAACCUCUUUCAGCAGGGAAGAAGCGCAAGUGACGGUACCUGCAGAAGAAGCGCCGGCUAACUACGUGCCAGCAGCCGCGGUAAUACGUAGGGCGCAAGCGUUGUCCGGAAUUAUUGGGCGUAAAGAGCUCGUAGGCGGUCUGUCGCGUCUGGUGUGAAAUCCCAUGGCUCAACUGUGGGCUUGCAUCGGGUACGGGCAGACUAGAGUGCUGUAGGGGAGACUGGAAUUCCUGGUGUAGCGGUGGAAUGCGCAGAUAUCAGGAGGAACACCGAUGGCGAAGGCAGGUCUCUGGGCAGUUACUGACGCUGAGGAGCGAAAGCAUGGGGAGCGAACAGGAUUAGAUACCCUGGUAGUCCAUGCCGUAAACGUUGGGCACUAGGUGUGGGGCCAGUUCCACUGGUUCUGUGCCGCAGCUAACGCAUUAAGUGCCCCGCCUGGGGAGUACGGCCGCAAGGCUAAAACUCAAAGGAAUUGACGGGGGCCCGCACAAGCGGCGGAGCAUGCGGAUUAAUUCGAUGCAACGCGAAGAACCUUACCAAGGCUUGACAUGUACGAGAACGCCCCAGAGAUGGGGUUCUCUUUGGACACUCGUACACAGGUGGUGCAUGGUUGUCGUCAGCUCGUGUCGUGAGAUGUUGGGUUAAGUCCCGCAACGAGCGC
rnacentral:rRNA from 1 species